GUGGGGUUUUGCUUUCUUUUUAGCUUUUCGUGUUCUUAUUAUGUUUCUGCCUUGUAAAUAUAUAUGGACUUUGCCUUUUGAAUAAUGAUAACAGUUGUUAACAGGACCUUGGUUCUGUUUUCAAAUAUCCAGUCCCAUUAGGCUGUAUAAAAAAUGGUGGUUUCCAAUCUAAGUUGGCCAACAACAGACAAAAUUAAUUAAACAAAGUCAAAAACCCAUAUGCACGAUUCCUGUAUUGCGAAC
rnacentral:lncRNA from 1 species